GUCUACGGCCAUGCCACCCUGAACAAGCCUGAUCCUGCCUGAUCUCAGAAGCUGAGCAGAGUUGGGCCUGGUUAGUACUUGGAUGGGAAACCACCUAGGAAGACCAGGUACUGUAGAUG
rnacentral:rRNA from 1 species